rnacentral:rRNA from 1 species
GACGAACGCUGGCGGCGUGCUUAACACAUGCAAGUCGAACGGAAAGGCCCUGCUUUUGUGGGGUGCUCGAGUGGCGAACGGGUGAGUAACACGUGAGUAACCUGCCCUUGACUUUGGGAUAACUUCAGGAAACUGGGGCUAAUACCGGAUAGGAGCUCCUGCUGCAUGGUGGGGGUUGGAAAGUUUCGGCGGUUGGGGAUGGACUCGCGGCUUAUCAGCUUGUUGGUGGGGUAGUGGCUUACCAAGGCUUUGACGGGUAGCCGGCCUGAGAGGGUGACCGGCCACAAUGGGACUGAGAUACGGCCCAGACUCCUACGGGAGGCAGCAGUGGGGAAUAUUGCACAAUGGGCGGAAGCCUGAUGCAGCAACGCCGCGUGCGGGAUGACGGCCUUCGGGUUGUAAACCGCUGUCGCCUGUGACGAAGCGUGAGUGACGGUAAUGAGUAAAGAAGCACCGGCUAACUACGUA